AAUCUGUGGGCCCUGAGCGUCCACGAGGGUGAAAGUGUCACGGUGAAUUGUAGUUACAAGACAUCCAUAACUGCCCUACAGUGGUACAGACAGAAGUCAGGCGAAGGCCCUGCCCAGCUAAUCUUAAUACGUUCAAAUGAGAGAGAGAAGCGCAAUGGAAGACUCAGAGCCACCCUUGACACCUCCAGCCAGAGCAGCUCCUUGUCCAUCACUGCUACUCGGUGUGAAGACACCGCUGUGUACUUCUGUGCUACUGA
rnacentral:lncRNA from 1 species